rnacentral:lncRNA from 1 species
UUCUUCUAAAAGACAAACGGUAAUUAAAAAGAAAACAAAUAAAUAAACAUCCUAGGAUAACCUUCACUAGCAUUUAAAGGGAGUUCGGGUGGUGAACUACUCACAACUCUCUUACUGAUCGGGAUUUGGAUCUUGAUUUUCUUGAUCUGAAAUAAUUAAUAAAAGGAUGAGCUACACUAAUCUAGUAAAAAUAUCACACUAAUCACAAAUACGGAAAACUAAAGAUUGGU